GUGGGGAAUCUUGCGCAAUGGGCGAAAGCCUGACGCAGCCAUGCCGCGUGAAUGAUGAAGGUCUUAGGAUUGUAAAAUUCUUUCACCGGGGACGAUAAUGACGGUACCCGGAGAAGAAGCCCCGGCUAACUUCGUGCCAGCAGCCGCGGUAAUACGCAGGGGGCUAGCGUUGCUCGGAAUUACUGGGCGUAAAGGGCGCGUAGGCGGACAGUUAAGUUGGGGGUGAAAGCCCGGGGCUCAACCUCGGAACUGCCUUCAAUACUGGCUGUCUUGAGUAUGAGAGAGGUGUGUGGAACUCCGAGUGUAGAGGGGAAAUUCGUAGAUAUUCGGAAGAACACCAGUGGCGAAGGCGACACACUGGCUCAUUACUGACGCUGAGGCGCGAAAGCGUGGGGAGCAAACAGGAUUAGAAACCCGGGUAGUCC
rnacentral:rRNA from 1 species